GACAGAGGGUGCAAACGUUGUUCGGAAUUACUGGGCGUAAAGCGCGUGUAGGCGGCUUUGCAAGUCGGGUGUGAAAUCCCAUGGCUCAACCAUGGAAGUGCACUCGAAACUGCAAGGCUAGAGUCCUGGAGAGGAAGGUGGAAUGCUUGGUGUAGAGGUGAAAUUCGUAGAUAUCAAGCGGAACACCGGUGGCGAAGGCGGCCUUCUGGACAGUGACUGACGCUGAGACGCGAAAGCGUGGGGAGCAAACAGG
rnacentral:rRNA from 1 species